CGUAGGAGACGAGCGUUAUCCGGAUUUACUGGGCGUAAAGCGUGUGCAGGCGGUUCGGCAAGUUGGAUGUGAAAUCUCCCGGCUCAACUGGGAGGGGUCGUUCAAAACUACCGAACUUGAGGUCAUCAGAGGAAGGUGGAAUUCCGGGUGUAGUGGUGAAAUGCGUAGAUAUCCGGAGGAACACCAGUGGCGAAGGCGGCCUUCUGGGAUGAUCCUGACGCUCAGACACGAAAGCUAGGGGAGCGAACGGGAUUAGAGACCCCGGUAGUCCUAGCUGUAAACGAUGUAGACUUGGCGUCGGAGGGUUCAAAACCUUCGGUGUCGUAGCUAACGCGAUAAGCCUACCGCCUGGGGACUACGGCCGCAAGGUUA
rnacentral:rRNA from 1 species